rnacentral:rRNA from 1 species
ACUCCUACGGGAGGCAGCAGUGGGGAAUAUUGCACAAUGGGCGCAAGCCUGAUGCAGCCAUGCCGCGUGUAUGAAGAAGGCCUUCGGGUUGUAAAGUACUUUCAGCAGUGAGGAAGGCGGGUACGUUAAUAGCGUGCUCGUUUGACGUUAGCUGCAGAAGAAGCACCGGCUAACUCCGUGCCAGCAGCCGCGGUAAUACGGAGGGUGCGAGCGUUAAUCGGAAUUACUGGGCGUAAAGCGCAUGCAGGUGGUUUGUUAAGUCAGAUGUGAAAGCCCGGGGCUCAACCUCGGAAUUGCAUUUGAAACUGGCAGACUAGAGUACUGUAGAGGGGGGUAGAAUUUCAGGUGUAGCGGUGAAAUGCGUAGAGAUCUGAAGGAUACCGGUGGCGAAGGCGGCCCCCUGGACAGAUACUGACACUCAGAUGCGAAAGCUGGGGAGCAAACAGGAUUAGAUACCCUGGUAGGAUAGCG